rnacentral:ncRNA from 1 species
UAAAAAGAAAGCUUCAAGCUUAUAUUGUUCAUGGGUUGGGAAUGAAAAUUGAACUUUAUGAAAUCGAAACUCCUGUUGUCCUUAGAAGCCCAGUGGUAGAGUGGUCGGUUGUUAACUGAUUGGUCGUAGGUUCAAAUCCUACUUGGGGAGAUUUGAUUAAUUUUGUUCAGCGAGAUUAGGAAACCACCAUUAAUACCUCGGUCACUGACACCGAGAGACGAAAGCUAGGGGAGUGAAUGAGAUUAGAUACCCCAGUUGUCCUAGACGUAAAUGAUGGAUACUAGGCAUUGUGUGUAUCGACCCGUGCAGUGUUGUAGCUAACGCAUUAAGUAUCCCGCCUAGGGAGUAUGUUCGCAAGAAUGAAACUUAAAAUAAUUGACGAGGGCCCCCAUGAACAGGGGAUCAUGUGGUUUAAUUCAAUGGAAAGCGAAGAACCUUACCAGAUCUUGACAUGUCGUGAAUCCUCUUGAAAGAGAUGGGUACCUUCGCGAACACAGACAUAGGUGGUGCAUGGUUGUCGUCAGCUUGUUCUGUAAGGUUUUAGGUUAAGUCCUGUAACGAGCACAAACCUCAUGUUUAGUUGCCAUCGUUGAGUUUGGAAUCCUGAACAAACUAUCGAUGAUAAGCCGGAGGAAGGUGAGGAUGAUGUCAAGUCAUGAUGCCCCUUAUGCCCUGGGCGACACACGUGCUACAAUGACCGGGACAAAGGGUCGCGAUCCCCCAAGGGUGAGCUAACCCUAAAAACCCAUCCUCAGUUCAGAUUGCAGGCUGAAACUCGCCUGCAUGAAGACGGAAUCACUAGUAAUCGCUGGUCAGCCAUACAAUGGUGAAUCUUUUCUCGGGCCUUGUACACAUUGCCCGGGCGUAAUAAUCGACGAAAUGCUUCGGGGAUUUGAAAAUAAGAAUAGAUUCCCGAAUAGGGAAACAUUUCGAACUACUGCUGA